AACGAACGCUGGCGGCAGGCUUAACACAUGCAAGUCGAACGGUCUCUUCGGAGGCAGUGGCAGACGGGUGAGUAACGCGUGGGAAUCUACCCUUUGGUACGGGAUAGCUCCGGGAAACUGGAAUUAAUACCGUAUGUGGCCUAUGGGCGAAAGAUUUAUCGCCAAGGGAUGAGCCCGCGUUGGAUUAGCUAGUUGGUGGGGUAAAGGCCUACCAAGGCGACGAUCCAUAGCUGGUCUGAGAGGAUGAUCAGCCACAUUGGGACUGAGACACGGCCCAAACUCCUACGGGAGGCAGCAGUGGGGAAUAUUGGACAAUGGGCGCAAGCCUGAUCCAGCCAUGCCGCGUGAGUGAUGAAGGUCUUAGGAUUGUAAAGCUCUUUCACCGGGGACGAUAAUGACGGUACCCGGAGAAGAAGCCCCGGCUAACUUCGUGCCAGCCGCCGCAGUAAAAC
rnacentral:rRNA from 1 species